rnacentral:lncRNA from 1 species
GGGAGAUUACCACCCAAAGUUGUGCUGAUACUAAAAUGAAAGAGCUGUGUGGUUUCCACUUUGGACAGAUCUUAUAUUUCUGUCCCAGAGGACCCUGGAGGGUGGGUGCAGGGGCUUUCUUCCUAACCUCAGUCUGAGCCUGGGAUCUUGCUCCUCCUGCCUAAACUGCCUCAUGGAACAGAAUGUCAGUGAACAGAAAGCCCUGGGGCUUCUAGACUUGAGCUGGAAAUUAGAAGACCAUUGAUUCCAACAUGGAAACAGAAGAACAAAGAAGAAGUAAACAGAAAACAAGAAAGAG